CCCUUAGAUGUUCUGGGCCGCACGCGCGCUACACUGACGAAUUCAACGAGUUUAUAACCUUUGCUGGGAGGCAUGGGUAAUCUUGUAAACGUUCGUCGUGAUGGGGAUAGAUUAUUGCAAUUGUUAAUCUUCAACGAGGAAUUCCUAGUAAACGCAAGUCAUCAGCUUGCAUUGAUUACGUCCCUGCCCUUUGUACACACCGCCCGUCGCACCUACCGAUUGAAUGGUCCGGUGAAUUCUUCGGACUGCGGCUUUGACUCGAUUUCGGUCGAGGCGUUGCUGCGGGAAGUUGAUUAAACCUUACCAUUUAGAGGAAGGUGAANUCGUAACA
rnacentral:rRNA from 1 species